UAUACAGGCUCCUAGAGUCUUACAUCCUCAAUUUUCAGAGCAGUUGCAGGAAAAGCAGAGGUAGCGCAUGCUUCUUCCACACUAGCUCCACCAAUAUGCCUCAAUCCACCCCCAAAAAGACCAUCUCUAGGAACGAGAAGGGAGGACAGUCUAUAUGGCCCACUCAAUUAAUUAGCCUCU
rnacentral:sRNA from 1 species